rnacentral:tRNA from 1 species
GCCGGGGUGGUGGAAUGGUAUACACGGAGGCCUUAAGAGCCUUUGUUCGCAAGGACAUAAGAGUUCGAGUCUCUUCCUCGGCAC